CCUACGGGUGGCAGCAGUGAGGAAUAUUGGUCAAUGGACGAGAGUCUGAACCAGCCAAGUAGCGUGAAGGAUGACUGCCCUAUGGGUUGUAAACUUCUUUUAUAUGGGAAUAAAAUGUUCCACGUGUGGGAUUUUGUAUGUACCAUAUGAAUAAGGAUCGGCUAACUCCGUGCCAGCAGCCGCGGUAAUACGGAGGAUCCGAGCGUUAUCCGGAUUUAUUGGGUUUAAAGGGAGCGUAGGUGGAUUGUUAAGUCAGUUGUGAAAGUUUGCGGCUCAACCGUAAAAUUGCAGUUGAAACUGGAGGUGUAGAGUAGAUGAAGGGGAGGAGGAAUUGGUGGUGUAGGGG
rnacentral:rRNA from 1 species